UACGUGGGGUGCAAGCGUUGUCCGGAAUUAUUGGGCGUAAAGAGCUCGUAGGCGGUCUGUCGCGUCUGCUGUGAAAACUCGGGGCUUAACCCCGGGCCUGCAGUGGGUACGGGCAGACUAGAGUGCGGUAGGGGAGACUGGAAUUCCUGGUGUAGCGGUGAAAUGCGCAGAUAUCAGGAAGAACACCAAUGGCGAAAGCAGCUUUCUGGGACGGUACUGACGCUGAGACGCGAAAGCGUGGGGAGCGAACAGG
rnacentral:rRNA from 1 species